rnacentral:rRNA from 1 species
GUAGGUGGCAAGCGUUGUCCGGAAUUAUUGGGCGUAAAGCGCGCGCAGGCGGUCCUUUAAGUCUGAUGUGAAAGCCCACGGCUCAACCGUGGAGGGUCAUUGGAAACUGGGGGACUUGAGUACAGAAGAGGAAAGCGGAAUUCCAAGUGUAGCGGUGAAAUGCGUAGAGAUUUGGAGGAACACCAGUGGCGAAGGCGGCUUUCUGGUCUGUAACUGACGCUGAGGCGCGAAAGCGUGGGGAGCAACCAGGGAUUAGAUACCCUGGUAGUCCACGCCGUAAACGAUGAGUGCUAAGUGUUAGGGGGUUUCCCGCCCCUUAGUGCUGCAGCUAACGCAUUAAGCACUCCGCCUGGGGAGUACGGCCGCAAGGCUG